UACAGAGACUGCAAGCGUUAUUCGGAUUCACUGAGCGUAAAGGGUGCGCAGGCGGCCAAGUGUGUUAGGCGUGAAAGCCCGGGGCUUAACCUCGGAAUUGCACCUAAAACUACUUGGCUAGAGCAUUGGAGAGGGUAGCGGAAUUCACGGUGUAGCAGUGAAAUGCGUAGAUAUCGUGAGGAACACCAGAGGCGAAGGCGGCUACCUGGACAAUUGCUGACGCUCAGGCACGAAAGCGUGGGGAGCAAAAGGG
rnacentral:rRNA from 1 species